rnacentral:rRNA from 1 species
CCUACGGGAGGCUGCAGUGAGGAAUAUUGGUCAAUGGGCGCGCGCCUGAACCAGCCAAGUAGCGUGAAGGAUGACUGCCCUCCGGGUUGUAAACUUCUUUUAUAAAGGAAUCAAGUUAGGCACGUGUGCCUUUUUGUAUGUACUUUAUGAAUAAGGAUCGGCUAACUCCGUGCCAGCAGCCGCGGUAAUACGGAGGAUCCGCGCGUUAUCCGGAUUUAUUGGGUUUAAGGGGGGCGUAGAUGGGUUGUUAAGUCAGUUGUGAAAGUUUGCGGCUAAACCGUAAAAUUGCAAUGGAUACUGGCAGCCGUGAGUACAGUUGAGGUAGGCGGAAUUCGUGGUGUAGCGGUGAAAUGCUUAGAUAUCACGAAGAACUCCGAUUGCGAAGGCAGCCUACUAAACUGCCACUGACAUUGAUGCUCGAAAGUGUGGGUAUCAAACAGGAUUAGAUACCCGGGUAGUC